rnacentral:sRNA from 1 species
GCGGUCCGCCCACAGGUGGUAUCCAGAAGCCUAAUGAGCACCGCGAUCGGCGGGUCCCUGGAGUGCCGGGCGGCGGUGUCCGUAGCCUUCGCUGAAGUGGAGCGGCGGCUGCGCUCGGGUGGGGCGGCUCAAGCAGCGUUGCGGACGGAGCUGAGCGCUUGUGGGCCCCUGGGCCGCGCUGAAAACCAGGCGGAGCUGCUGGGGGCGCUGCAGGCACUGGUGGGAGGUGUAGUGCAGUAUGAUGGGCAGGCUGGAGCGCCGCUAAGCGUGCGACAGCUCUGCGGACUUCUCCUCGGGGGCGGGGGCAACCGCAGCCACUCCACGCCCUACUGCGGGCUUCGUCGGGCGGUGCAGAUUGUCUUGCACAGCCUGGGCCAGAAGUGUUUAAGCUUUUCCCGAGCAGAGACAGUGGCACAGCUGAGGAGCACAGAACCUCAACUGUCUGGUGUGGGUGACCGGCAGUGGUUGUACCAGACAUGUACCGAGUUCGGCUUCUGGGACACAGACCCCUGGCAUGUGCUAAGUGUAACACAGGCUUUAGGAUCCUCAGAAUCAACUCUUCUUAUCCGCACUGGCUCCCACUGCUUGGACAUGGCACCUGAGAGGCCCUCAGACUCCCCCAGCCUCCGCCUAGGGCGCCAGAACAUCUUCCAGCAGCUACAGACCUGGCUCAAGCUGGCAAAGGAGAGCCAGAUUAAGGGUGAAGUCUGAAUCUCAUACCCUUUCCACUCCCUGUAUGGUCACCUCAGUCUUGGACAUACUUGUUCACUGAACAAAAGAAAGCAGCUUGUUUUGAAAGAAGAAACUCCCAGGAAUUGGAAUUCAGCACCUGUUCCGCGUGUAACUGGCAUGUGUCUGCAAACAUCUUUAUUCCCAACUUAAAGUGCUUUAUUGCAGAGAGUUAUGGAAA